rnacentral:rRNA from 1 species
UACGAAGGGUGCAAGCGUUACUCGGAAUUACUGGGCGUAAAGCGUGCGUAGGCGGUUUGUUAAGUCUGUCGUGAAAGCCCCGGGCUCAACCUGGGAAUGGCGAUGGAUACUGGCGAGCUAGAGUGCGGUAGAGGAGAGUGGAAUUCCCGGUGUAGCAGUGAAAUGCGUAGAGAUCGGGAGGAACAUCAGUUGCGAAGGCGGCUCUCUGGACCAGUACUGACGCUGAGGCACGAAAGCGUGGGGAGCAAACAGG